CCAUCCUCGCGCAGCCGCAGUAGACUUCGCACACGCGGCCGCCCCGGGGGUGGUGACUCGCUCGUGACUUUCUCGCGCUGUGGGAGGGGCUGCUAAGCCGGGGCGGGGAUCGGCGGCGCUUUACGGCCGGCAGGAGAUGCCGCAAAGCGUGCGCGGCUGGCUUUGCGGCAGGGCAGGUGGUGAGGGUGAUUAGAUUGCUUGUGAAAGGUGCCUGACAACUGAGGAGACUGGAGUCCUCGCUCCACAGGAAAGGUAGAGGCGGCAGCAGCAGUGCAAACACCCCACCAAUGGGCUUCAACUUCAUCCUGGAGGCACUAGCUCAGUUGAGAAGAGGGUAAAUAAUCACAAGAAUUAAGUGGCUAUGUUCAAUGAAAUAUGAAAAAUGGCUAAUCCUUUAAGAGGUGAAGUGCUGAAUCUUUACAAAAAUCUGCUGUACCUUGGAAGGGAAUAUCCCAAAGGAGCAGACUACUUUAGAAGCCGUUUGAAGGCAGCUUUCCUAAAAAAUAAGGAUGUGAAAGAUCCAGAAAAAAUUAAGCAACUAAUUAGUCGUGGAGAAUUUGUUAUAAAAGAGCUAGAGGCCUUGUAUUAUCUCAGAAAGUACAGGGCUAUGAAACAGCGCUACUAUGAGGACGACAAUAAGAAUAAGUGAUGUGUAAUAUUGUUGACCCUGUGCUUGUAACAAUGCAGGUGUUUCGGUUCUAUAAAUAUAGCAACACACACACACGUUGUCACUCAGCAAUCUUCACUGGUUUUGGAAACCUUUUCAAUUUUGGAAGUUGCCAGAUCAAAUCUCAAACAGUUCGGAGAAUAUUUACAUUCUACUGGUUUUCGUUCUGCUGUAAAUUCUGUUUAACGCAUCUACUGGCUGAUAAUUGGGCACAUUGUAUUAAGACUCUUUUAAAGGUGAAAAGAAAAUAA